CCUACGGGUGGCAGCAGUGGGGAAUAUUGGACAAUGGGGGCAACCCUGAUCCAGCCAUGCCGCGUGUGUGAAGAAGGCCCUCGGGUUGUAAAGCACUUUCAGUGAGGAAGAACGCCUGGUGGUUAAUACCCAUCAGGAAAGACAUCACUCACAGAAGAAGCACCGGCUAACUCCGUGCCAGCAGCCGCGGUAAUACGGAGGGUGCGAGCGUUAAUCGGAAUUACUGGGCGUAAAGCGCGCGUAGGUGGCUUGAUAAACCGGUUGUGAAAGCCCCGGGCUCAACCUGGGAACGGCAUCCGGAACUGUCAAGCUAGAGUGCAGGAGAGGAAGGUAGAAUUCCCGGUGUAGCGGUGAAAUGCGUAGAGAUCGGGAGGAAUACCAGUGGCGAAGGCGGCCUUCUGGACUGACACUGACACUGAGGUGCGAAAGCGUGGGUAGCAAACAGGAUUAGAUACCCGAGUAGUC
rnacentral:rRNA from 1 species